rnacentral:tRNA from 1 species
GCGGGUGUAACUCAGUGGUAGAGUACCUGCUUUCCAAGCAGGUCGUCAUGGGUUCGAGUCCCGUCACCCGCU